rnacentral:rRNA from 1 species
CGUAGGUACCGAGCGUUAUCCGGAUUUACUGGGCGUAAAGCGUGUGCAGGCGGUCGUGCAAGUCGGGCAUGAAAGCCCCUGGCUCAACUAGGGGAAGCUGUCUGAUACUGCAUGACUUGAGGGCUCGAGAGGGCGAUGGAAUUCCGCAUGUAGUGGUGAAAUGCGUAGAGAUGCGGAGGAACACCAGUGGCGAAAGCGGUCGCCUGGCGAGCCCCUGACGCUCAGACACGAAAGCUAGGGGAGCGAACGGGAUUAGAAACCCCGGUAGUCCUAGCUGUAAACGAUGUGGACUAGGCGUGCGCGGUCUCAACCCCGUGCGUGCCGUAGCAAACGCGAUAAGUCCACCGCCUGGGGACUACGGCCGCAAGGUUA